rnacentral:rRNA from 1 species
UACGUAGGGUGCAAGCGUUUGUCCGGAAUUAUUGGGCGUAAAGAGCUCGUAGGCGGUCUGUCGCGUCGGAUGUGAAAAUCCAGGGCUCAACCCUGGAAGGCCGGUGGAAACUGUCGGGCUAGAGUCCGGAAGAGGCGAGUGGAAUUCCCGGUGUAGCGGUGAAAUGCGCAGAUAUCGGGAGGAACACCAAUGGCGAAGGCAGCUCGCUGGGACGGUACUGACGCUGAGACGCGAAAGCGUGGGGAGCAAACAGGG